rnacentral:rRNA from 1 species
UACGUAGGGCGCAAGCGUUAUCCGGAAUUAUUGGGCGUAAAGAGCUCGUAGGUGGUUUGUCGCGUUGUUCGUGAAAACUCACAGCUCAACUGUGGGCGUGCGGGCGAUACGGGCAGACUAGAGUACUGCAGGGGAGGACUGGAAUUCCUGGUGUAGCGGUGAAAUGCGCAGAUAUCAGGAGGAACACCGGUGGCGAAGGCGGGUCUCUGGGCCGA